GUUGUGUAUCCGUUGGCUUCUACGGAAUCUAACCGAUAUAAUUCCCCCUUAUAAGCCGACUUUGGUGCGCGUCUUUCUCAGCCUUGGUGGUCUACAACAAUGGCGUCUGAACCUCCUCGGAAAACUUUGCCUUCUGUCGACAAGGAAAUAACAUCAUCUCAUGAUAAUGGCGGCGCUCAGGAGCCUCUUCUUCACGGGAUUCAUGGACCUGAAAACUAUUCUGCCUAUGCAGCAAUCCUUCCUUAAUUUUCUAACUCAUGGUGGAAAUAUUUUCAUAUGACGAGAAGGCUUGAAGAUACAACGAGCUAUUUGUUAUCAUUUACAUCCCUUCAUUUAGUGAUAUCUUUGUGGUUUCAUGUUCAGCUGAGCUAUUUCAUUUUAUAUGCUUGGUUAUGGUUCAUGUGUCUUAGCAUCCUAUUUAUGGAAAUAAUUUUACUGUUAAGUCUUACUAAACAGCGAGUUUCAAACUGGAUUUCUAUUGGCCAAGAAAGAAGCAAAAUAACUAUAUUUUAUGAAUUACAAUAUGGUUUUUCUUUUUCUUUUUCAUUUUCUAAUGCUUGUAUUUAUUAUUUACUUAUCAUCAGGACAAGGGGAAGGUACAGAUACUGAAAGAAUAUAAAAGGAAGCAAACUAUAACAAAAGAAGAAAGUCCACAUUGAUAUGAUUAAGUUUUCCAGCCUUUCGACAUAUUAAAGAAUGGUGUGCCCUGAGUAUAACCAUUGGCCAAACAUCAUAAAAAGGCCUAGAAAACCAUCUAUGCAUAGAAGAUGCAAGGGAAAGAAUAGUGUGCCCUGAGCAUAACCAUAGUGAUUCUUUGGUCCUCUCAAGUGCAUUAAAUAUAUGAAAGCAAAUGAAAUCCAUAAAGUUUUUUCCAGCUUUCGUAAUUGUUUUAUUUAAAAUCUCAGAUUUCUUUUCGCUGCAUUUGGAGGGCUACUUUAUGGCUAUGAUAUUGGUGCCACAUCGUGUGCGACGAUUUCUAUCCAGUCACCAACUUUAAGUGGGACAUCAUGGUAUAACUUGAGUUUUGUUGAA